rnacentral:lncRNA from 1 species
AUUAAGAUUAUAAGAUGAGAAGAUGAUUUAAAAUCUUAAGAAACAAAUUAGAAAAACCCUAACUAGGGAUUAUCAGUUGAUAUCUGAAUCAUCGAAAUCAUCCUCAAAGCCGUUGAAGAAAUUGGCGUCUUGAAGCAGCUUCUGGUUGGUGAAAACAUCACCAAACAUCUCCAAGGAGGAGUCGAUAUCAUCGACGUCCAUCGGCAUAGUCAAGGAUUCAUCGACAUCAAUAUCAGGUGAAUGGUUAUCGUGCUUCAUCAGCUCUCUUACCCAGUCUCUAUUCAUGGCUUCCCUCUGCGUUAAGUCAAUCAACCGGACUCUUCUUAGAGGCAGAGAAAGACGGAGAUAUUAUAUACGUUCUGAAAGUUAGGUUUUACCUUUGGUAUUUAUAAGCUUGCUCUGG